rnacentral:lncRNA from 1 species
CAUUUUGUGCCACAGGAUAAUUUGUAAGCUUGCACUACUGUGACCCACAACAGAGAGAAUAUUCACAGUCUCAGAAAAGAAAAAAUCAUUCUACACUCAUUGGGUACUACUAAAUGAAAUGGAGAAAUUAUUCAUACAGGAGUAACUUCUUAAUUCAGGCAUUACAGAAGUGUUUCACUGCUGUUUUUCAUUCAAGUAGUAUGAGGUUCAUGGUUUCUUCUUCACUGUGGGUUCACUUGAGGUAGUUCAGUUUUUCUUUUGCACCAUUUUCUUUGUCAUCUGUUCUGCAACAUAGUUAAUAUUGCAACCAAAUUUUGCAUGUAAGGUAUGCAAGGAGCCCCAUA